rnacentral:rRNA from 15 species
UUCAUGAGGUAGUCGGUGAGGUCACGCCCCGCCAGGUCCAGGCGCAGAAUGGCAUGCGGCAAGGCAUAGCCCUCGUAGAUGGGCACGGUGUGCGACACGCC